rnacentral:rRNA from 1 species
GACGAACGCUGGCGGCGUGCUUAAUACAUGCAAGUCAACUUGACUUUAGAUAGCAAUAUCGAAAAGUAGGGUGGCGCACGGGUGCGUAACGCGUAGGUAAUCUGCCCUGAGGUCUGACAUAACCCGUCGAAAGGCGGGCUAACAUCAGAUGAUAUAUAAUCACGACAUCGUGGAAAUAUCAAAUCUUCGGAGCCUUGGGAUGAGCCUGCGUCUGAUUAGGUAGUUGGCGGAGUAAUAGCCCACCAAGCCUACGAUCAGUAGCUGGUCUGAGAGGAUGAUCAGCCACACUGGAACUGAGACACGGUCCAGACUCCUACGGGAGGCAGCAGUAAGGAAUAUUGCUCAAUGGGGAAACCCUGAAGCAGCAACGCCGCGUGAAGGAUGAAAUACUUUUGUAUGUAAACUUCUGUAAGAUGGGAAAAAUAUUACUCCUCGGGAGAAUUGAUUGUACCAUCAGAGUAAGCCCCGGCUAACUACGUGCCAGCAGCCG